UUGGAGGGCAAGUCUGGUGCCAGCAGCCGCGGUAAUUCCAGCUCCAAUAGCGUAUAUUAAAGUUGUUGCAGUUAAAAAGCCCGUAGUUGAAUUUCGAGAUCAGUACGCUGGUCGUGCCUUCGGUACGCACUGGUGUCACUGGUUUCUCCCUUCUGAAGAACCGUCAUGUCAUUAAGUUGGUGUGGCGGGGAAUCAGGACUGUUACUUUGAAAAAAUUAGAGUGUUUAAAGCAGGCUCGCGCUUGAAUACAUUAGCAUGGAAUAAUGAAAUAGGACGUUUGACCCUAUUUUGUUGGUUUCUAGGAUCGACGUAAUGAUUAAUAGGGAUAGUUGGGGGCAUUAGUAUUCAAUUGUCAGAGGUGAAAUUCUUGGAUUUAUUGAAGACUAACUACUGCGAAAGCAUUUGCCAAGGAUGUCUUCAUUAAUCAAGAACGAAAGUUAGGGGAUCGAAGACGAUCAGAUACCGUCGUAGUCUUAACCAUAAACUAUGCCGACUAGGGAUCGGAUGAUGUUAAUUUUUUAAUGACUCAUUCGGCGCCUUACGGGAAAC
rnacentral:rRNA from 1 species